UCGAACGAGAAANNUUUCUUCGGAGAACGAGUAAAGUGGCGCACGGGUGAAUAACGCGUAAGUAAUCUACCCUUGCAUUUGGGAUAACUACGGGAAGCUGUAGCUAAUACCGGAUACGUUCAUAGAGUUACGACUCUAUGAAGAAAGAUGACCUCUUCUUGAAAGUUAUCGUGCAGGGAGGAGCUUGCGUACCAUUAGCUAGUUGGUAGGGUAAUGGCCUACCAAGGCGACGAUGGUUAGCGGGUCUGAGAGGAUGAUCCGCCACACUGGAACUGAAACACGGACCAGACUCCUACGGGAGGCAGCAGUGAGGAAUAUUGCGCAAUGGGGGAAACCCUGACGCAGCGACGCCGCGUGGAUGAUGAAGGCCUUCGGGUCGUAAAAUCCUGUCAGAUGGGAAGAAAUGUAUGAGGGAAUAAUACCUCUUGUGCUUGACGGUACCUCAAAGGAACACCGGCUAACUCCGUGCAGCAG
rnacentral:rRNA from 1 species